UUAAGGGUCUUGCUAAGAAAUUAGAUAAUAGGAGAUAGAAAAUACUAUGAAAAAGAUUUUUUGUUGGUAUAUUUAAAGUAAUUGUAAGUGAAAUAUAAAUAUAAGCUAGAGUAUAUAGUACUGUAAAGGAAAGAAAAGUCAAAAUAUUUAAAGUAAAAAUAUAGUUUUGUACCUUGUGUAUUAGGGAAGGUUUAUAUAAGUUAAAAAAUUAAAAAUCUCGAAAUAAAAAUAGCUAAUUUUAUAAAAAAGUUUUUAUAGGAUAUAAAUUUUGAAUAUAAAAUUAAAGAUGAAAUGUUAGUCGAGUUUUAUAAUAUCUAGUUUUUUAGGGUGUAAAUGUAAUUUAAUUUUUAUGGAAAUAACUAUAAAAGUAAAUAAUAGGAGGGGUAAGCUUCUUAUUUGUAAAGUUAAUAAUUAAUAGAAAUAAUUAUAAUUGAACUAAGCUUAAAAAUAGCUAUGUUGAUAAAAUGUUUAAAUUAAGGUUUGUAUAAAAUUUUAUUAUAUAAUUUUAGAAAAUACUAAGAAUUUGUUUUUAAUAAAAAAGAAUAAGAUAAAAUGAUUUUAUUAGUAGAAUUAAAGGUAAAAAAUUUUAAUUAAAUAAUAAAAUUUUUUUUUUAUAAAAAUAGAUAUUAUAGAGGAAUUCAGCAAGAAUUAUUUCUUUGCCUGUUUAUCAAAAACAUGUCUGUUUGAAAGUAUAAGAAGUCUGACCUGCUCACUGAUAUAAUAAUUAUUAAAGAGCCGCAGUAUUAUGACUGUGCAAAGGUAGCAUAAUCAUUAGGUUUUUAAAUGGAAUCUUGUAUGAAUGGUUGGACAAAAGAAAAACUGUCUUUAUAUUAUAUUUGAAUUUAACUUUCAAGUGAGAAGGCUUGAGUAUUCUAAAGGGACGAUAAGACCCUAUAAAACUUUACAUUAUAGUUAUAUUUUAUAGAAUUUUUAUGAUAAAAAUUUAUUUAAUUAUUUUGUUUUGUUGGGGAGACAACAGUAAAAAUUAUAUUAACUGCUUUAGGUUUAAUCAAUUAUAAAUGAGCUAAAGGUUUAUGAUCCUAAUUAUUGAUUUAAAGAUUAAGUUACUUUAGGGAUAACAGUGUUAUUUUUUUUGAGAGCCCAUAUCGAAAAGAAAGUUUGCAACCUCGAUGUUGAAUUAAAAUAUCUUUAUAGUGCAGAUGUUAUAGGAGAAGGUCUGUUCGAC
rnacentral:rRNA from 1 species